GACAGAGGGGGCAAGCGUUGCUCGGAAUUACUGGGCGUAAAGGGCGCGUAGGCGGGAUGGCAAGUCGGUCGUGAAAUCCCUCGGCUCAACUGAGGAGCGUCGAUCGAAACUGCCGUUCUUGAGGGUUGCAGAGGAGACUGGAAUUCCCGGUGUAGCGGUGAAAUGUGUAGAGAUCGGGAGGAACACCGGUGGCGAAGGCGGGUCUCUGGGCCGAUACUGACGCUGAGGAGCGAAAGCGUGGGGAGCGAACAGG
rnacentral:rRNA from 1 species